UACGGGAGGCAGCAGUGGGGAAUAUUGCACAAUGGGCGAAAGCCUGAUGCAGCUAUGCCGCGUGUAUGAAGAAGGCCUUAGGGUUGUAAAGUACUUUCAUCGGGGAGGAAAAACAAAACUAAUAAUUUUAUUUCUUGACGUUACCCGAAAAAGAAGCACCGGCUAACUCCGUGCCAGCAGCCGCGGUAAUACGGAGGGUGCUAGCGUUAAUCAGAAUUACUGGGCGUAAAGAGCACGUAGGUGGUUUUUUUAAGUCAGAUGUGAAAUCCCUGGGCUUAACCUAGGAACUGCAUUUUGAAACUGAAAUACUAGAGUAUCGUAGAGGGAGGUAGAAUUCUAGGUGUAGCGGUGAAAUGCGUAGAUAUCUGGAGGAAUACCUGUGGCGAAAGCGGCCUCCUAAACGAAUACUGACACUGAGGUGCGAAAGCGUGGGGAGCAAACAGGGAUUAGAUACCCUCUGAGACUACCAAGGCAACAACAGGGGAAU
rnacentral:rRNA from 1 species